rnacentral:lncRNA from 1 species
GUGGAGUCCUUUCAGGCCAAAAUUGCCCAGUUAAUGUUUUUGAUCAUCAGCACUUUUUAUUUGAAUGAAGGGAUCAUUCUGGAACAGUUCAUUUCAAAGUGAUCAGAUACUUGGGAUAAGAUCAAAUGUGAGAGUUUGAAAUAUUUCAGUAAACUAUACUCUGGAAAGGAGCUGCAUAUUAAUCUCAUUUCCAAUGCACACGACUGAACAUUUACUAUUGUGGAUUAGUUAAGGUAUGAGUAUCUGAAUUUUAUUGAAUGUGAGGUAGAUUCCAAGAAUCUUCCUCUAAAUGUUUUCCUUGAAAUGUUUCAGGAAAGCAACAAUUCAUCAAGAUAUGUUCAGAACUAGUCACCAAACAAGCAGAUAAUAAAGAAAGCCAAAAAGGGUUUUAAGAGCAGUUCUCAAAAAAAAAAAAAAAAAAAAAUACAGAACUUAGAAUUCAUGAAGACUCUCAAAAUUGGAAAAAAAAAACUUUCAGAACUGUCAGAAUAUAUAUACGCUUCUGAGAUGAGAUUGUUUUUCUCAUGGACUGUUGCAUAAGAAUGGAGGAAAACCAGAAGCACAUCUAUUUUGUCAUGGGUUAGACCUAGGACUGAGUACCUAACUGAGCCUUUGUGGAACAUCACUGAAAGCAUGGCCUAGAAGUGAUCUUUACGACUUAGCCCAUUGGUGAAUUCUGUGUGCAACAUCUGAAGGAAUUUAAGGAAAAGAGCUUAGUGUCAACUACCAAAAAAAAGUAUUGGAAAUUCCAGAAGAUAAAGAGGAGGUAAAAACAGGAAGAAAACCUCUGCAAUAACACAGAAGACAUCUUGGAGAAAAAACAUUGAAAAGGUGGUUGUGUCAAACCAACUGGCAUACACUUGCUUUAUCACCACUAGCUCACAUACAUUGACAAUGGGCAUGGAGAGAAUCACCAAAGCUCAAGCCUUCAGACACAACUCAAUAAGGGGGUGAAAGGCAGCAAAGAAACACCUGGAGAUAAUCCCUAACCACUCCUAUUGAAACUUUAAGGCAAAAAGGCAAAGGUUGACAAGAAUGACAACUCUAUGAGGAACUUGGUCAUCUUGCAGUGUGAAAGUACACUCCUGUCAUCUGGCUUCAGUCUGGAAGAUCCACAGAACACAUGCAACAUGAUCUACAGGAUGGUCAAGCUUGGUUUAGGAAUUGAUCGGGAUAAUUCUACUGCAGAUAGGUUAUACCAGUGAUGCUAUAACUGAAGAAAUACCACCCGUGGAAGGAGAUGAUGACACAUCAUAUAUGGAAGAAGUAGAC